rnacentral:rRNA from 1 species
UUCUGGUUGAUCCUGCCGGACCUGACUGCUAUCGGAUUGAUACUAAGCCAUGCGAGUCUUUGUAGUAAUACAAGGCAUACGGCUCAGUAACGCGUAGUCAACCUACCCUAUGGACAAGAAUAAUCUCGGGAAACUGAGCAUAAUUCUUGAUAGAUCAUAAUACCUGGAAUGGUUUAUGGUUAAAAUGAUUCGUCGCCAUAGGAUGGGACUGCGGCCUAUCAGCUUGUUGGUGAGGUAAUGGCCCACCAAGGCGAUUACAGGUACGGGCUCUGAGAGGAGAAGCCCGGAGAUGGGUACUGAGACAAGGACCCAGGCCCUAUGGGGCGCAGCAGGCGAGAAAACUUUGCAAUGUGCGAAAGCACGACAAGGUUAGUCCGAGUGAUUUCUGCUAAAGAGAUCUUUUGCUAGUUAUAAAACCACUAGUGAAUAAGGGGUGGGCAAGUUCUGGUGUCAGCCGCCGCGGUAAAACCAGCACCUCAAGUGGUCAGGAUGAUUAUUGGGCCUAAAGCAUCCGUAGCCGGCUCUGUAAGUUUUCGGUUAAAUCUAUACGCUCAACGUAUGGGCUGCCGAAAAUACUGUAGAGAUAGGGAGUGGGAGAGGUAGACGGUACUCGGUAGGAAGGGGUAAAAUCCUUUGAUCUAUCGAUGACCACCUGUGGCGAAGGCGGUCUACCAGAACACGUUCGACGGUGAGGGAUGAAAGCUGGGGGAGCAAACCGGAUUAGAUACCCGGGUAGU